rnacentral:lncRNA from 1 species
GAAGCCGUAAGGAAAUCAAGACAAGCCCUGGGCCGUGCCCCAGGGAGCAGCCCCUACAAGCAGCAGCAGGCGCACAGGGCUCCCCGGCAGCCUUUGGGCUGCACCUGCGUGUGCCGGGGCUGCGCGGCGCGGUUCGGUGCGCGGGCGGAGCUGUGCCGGGAGCAGCGCUGCAGCGAGCUGCGGGCUGCAGGGGGCACUGCGGAGGAGCCCAAAAACUCCUGGGAAGUUCAACCUGAGCGCAGCCGGCCGAGGCGCUGGCCUGCCGGCGCUCCGUUGCCAUCAAAACGAGCGAGACAGCCCCCGGCUCUCCCCGCCGGCUCCCGCACUCGCUGCUCUCGCUCUGCGUCGCUGUCGCGAUGGGGACGAGGUGACAAGCAGCCGUCCCCAUCGCGACAGCGGCUGGAGCAGACAAAGCCGGCUGCGGAGCAGUGCCCCGCACGCUGUGCUCCCCGCUUCCUGCCCCCCUGGGGAGAGCGGGGGGGUGUCCCCGCGGGCAGGAGCCCCCCGCCCCGGGGGAGCCCUCCGGGCUGGGUGCGGGGAGCCGUGCGGGGGGAGCCGUCCGCUCCUGCCGGGUUUUGCUCCGCGCCGGGUUUUGCACCGCGUCCCCGGGUCUGCCGGCCCGGGGGAGCCGCCGCCGUCCUGCUAGCGCUGCGCGGGCACGGCGGGAGGAGGAGGAGGAGGAGGAGGAGGAGGAGGAGGAGGAGGGCGCUCGAUCAUUGUGAUGGUGGCAGGAGCGGCGGCAGGAGCAGCAGCAGCAGGGCGCAGAGCGGAGCGGAGCGGCGCGGGCUCGGCGCUGGGGCAGCGCCCCGGAGCCUCGCUGCUGCUGCUGCUGCUGCCCCCCCCGGCUCCGACCCCGGCCCCGGCCCCGGCCCCGCGGCCGCUCGCCGGGCUCCCCCCCGCCGGCAUGCGGCCGGCCGGGCAGCGGGCGCGGCGCGGCGGCGGCCCCAAAACUUUUCUCUAGGCGGGGAGCCCCGCUGCCGGCCCCCCCCCGCCCCGCUCCGCUCCGCUCCAUGCCGGGGAGGCGCGCGGCGCGUGCCCGGCGGAGAAGCGUGCCCGCGGCCCCGCGCGCGUGCAUGCGGCUCGCUCCCCGGCGGCGGCGGAGCGGUGUCCGGGGGCAGGAGGCGGUCCCGCGGCGAUGGGCGAUGGGGGGCAGGCAGCGGCCCCGUAGCGCCCGGGGGCGGCCGCCCCAGCACCAGCAGCAGCACCAGCAGCAGCACCAGGAGCAGCAGCAGCAGCACAGCUGGCCGUGCGGGUGGCCGCGCCGCCGGCGAUAACCUCCCGGCACCUCCGCUCGCCGCCUUCCUCCCUCCCUCUCUCCCUCCUCCUCCUCCUCCUCCUCCUCCUCCCUCCUCUCCUCCUCCUCCUGCUCUUCCCCCCCCCCCCCCCCGCCGCCGCUCGCUCCCCGCUUGA